AAUAAAAAUGUAUCUGACGAAUAAGUAUUGAUCGUUGGAUAAGAGACUUAAAACAAUAAUAAUACAGGUUUAAUGUUAAAAAGAACAAUCUAAAAAUGUAUUUGUUUAUAUUCACAUUACCACAAUACCCUCUCGUUUAGUCAUCCGCUUUUCCACCUAGUAACCGAAAAAACUGUGAACUGUAUACAAUUUACAAAAAGCCCCGAUUUUUGUUUAGCUCGGAAUAUAAUAAUAUGUUCACUAUUUAAAUUUAGUUAGCCAUUUGUAUUUACAUAUUUUUCAUUUUAACUUU